CCUACGGGUGGCAGCAGUGAGGAAUAUUGGUCAAUGGACGCAAGUCUGAACCAGCCAUGCCGCGUGCAGGAAGACGGCUCUAUGAGUUGUAAACUCCUUUUGUACGAGGGUAAACGCAGAUACGCGUAUCUGUCUGAAAGUCUCGUACGAAUAAGGAUCGGCAACCUCCAUGCCGGCAGCCGCGGUAGUAGGGAGGUUUCAGGCGUUACCCGAUUUUAUUGGGUUAAAAGGGUGCGUAGGCGGAUCGUUAGGUCAGUGGGAAAAUUGAGGGGCUAAACCCGUUCCCGCCAUUGAAACUGGCGUUCUUGAGUGGAAGAGAGGUAGGCGGAAUGCGUGGUGUAGCGGUGAAAUGCAUAGAUAUCAGGCAGAACACCGAUUGCGAAGGCAGCAUGCCGGCUUCCGACUGACGCUGAGGCACGAAAGCGUGGGGAGCGAACAGGAUUAGAUACCCGGGUAGUC
rnacentral:rRNA from 1 species